UUCAGUGAAUCAUUGAAUCUUUCGAACGCACCUUGCGCUCCUUGGUAUUCCGAGGAGCAUGCCUGUUUGAGUGUCAUC
rnacentral:rRNA from 1 species